rnacentral:tRNA from 1 species
CAGAAGAUGGUUUAAGUUAAAAUGCCAGUUUUGGGGGCUGGAGAUGGGGGCUAGUGUUCCUCUCUUUUGA